rnacentral:rRNA from 1 species
AGAGUUUGAUCCUGGCUCAGGACGAACGCUGGCGGCGUGCUUAACACAUGCAAGUCGAACGGACCAUUUGCAACGUUUGUUGUUGGUGGUUAGUGGCGGACGGGUGAGUAACACGUGAGUAACCUGCCCCUUGGUUUUUUGGGAUAACUGCUUGAAAGGGUGGCUAAUACCGAUGGUGCGGUUGGUGUCGCAUGACAUUGAUCGGGAAGAAUCAACGUUUGUUGGUUUGGUUGGGGAUGGGCUCGCGGCCUAUUAGUUUGUUGGUGGGGUGAUGGCUUACCAAGGCUUUGACGGGCAGCCGGCCUGAGAGGGUGGACGGUCACAUUGGGACUGAGAUACGGCCCAGACUCCUACGGGAGGCAGCAGUGGGGAAUAUUGCACAAUGAACGGAAGUUUGAUGCAGCGACGCCGUGUGAGGGAUGAAGGCCUUUGGGUUGUAAACCUUUUUCGCUUUUGACCAAGGCAUGACUUUGGGUUGUGUUGAGGGUAGGGGGUAAAUGAAGCUCCGGCUAACUACGUGCCAGCAGCCGCGGUAAUACGUAGGGAGCGAGCGUUGUCCGGAUUUAUUGGGCGUAAAGGGCUUGUAGGUGGUGUGUCGCGUCUGUCGUGAAAUUCCAUGGCUUAACUGUGGGAGUGCGGUGGGUACGGGCAUGCUUGAGUGCGGUAGGGGAGACUGGAAUUCUUGGUGUAGCGGUGGAAUGCGCAGAUAUCAGGAGGAACACCGGUGGCGAAGGCGGGUCUCUGGGCCGUUACUGACGCUGAGGAGCGAAAGCGUGGGGAGCGAACAGGAUUAGAUACCCUGGUAGUCCACGCUGUAAACGUUGGACACUAGAUGUGGUGGUCUCACUGUUUUGUGGGGUUGCUGUGUCGUAGUUAACGCAUUAAGUGUCCCGCCUGGGGAGUACGGCCGCAAGGCUAAAACUCAAAGGAAUUGACGGGGGCCCGCACAAGCGGCGGAGCAUGCGGAUUAAUUCGAGGCAACGCGAAGAACCUUACCAAGGCUUGACAUACACCUGGAGCGCGCGGAAACGUGUGUGACUUUGAUACAGGUUGUACAGGUGGUGCAUGGUUGUCGUCAGCUCGUGUCGUGAGAUGUUGGGUUAAGUCCCGUAACGAGCGCAACCCUUGUCUUAUGUUGCCAGCA